CCUACGGGAGGCAGCAGUGAGGAAUAUUGGUCAAUGGGCGAGAGCCUGAACCAGCCAAGUCGCGUGAAGGAUGACGGAUCUAUGGUUUGUAAACUUCUUUUAUAUGGGAAUAAAGUGCGGAAUGUGUACUUUUUUGUAUGUACCAUAUGAAUAAGCAUCGGCUAACUCCGUGCCAGCAGCCGCGGUAAUACGGAGGAUGCGAGCGUUAUCCGGAUUUAUUGGGUUUAAAGGGAGCGUAGGUGGGUUAUUAAGUCAGUGGUGAAAGUUUGCGGCUCAACCAUAAAAUUGCAGUUGAUACUGGUUGACUUGAGUAUAGUAGAGGUAGGCGGAAUGCGUGGUGUAGCGGUGAAAUGCAUAGAUAUCACGAAGAACUCCGAUUGCGAAGGCAGCUUGCUAAACUAUAACUGACGCUGAUGCACGAAAGCGUGGGUAUCAAACAGGAUUAGAUACCCGGGUAGUC
rnacentral:rRNA from 1 species